GCAGCGGCUUGACAUCAAGACAGUUGUUAAAGCUUCGGCGCCUGAAGAUGAGCCUGCGUCUGAUUAGCUAGUUGGCGGAGUAAUAGCCCACCAAGGCGACGAUCAGUAGCUGGGUCUGAGAGGAUGAUCAGCCACACUGGAACUGAGACACGGUCCCAGACUCCUACGGGAGGCAGCAGUAAGGAAUAUUGCUCAAUGGGAGAAAUCCUGAAGCAGCAACGCCGCGUGAGGGAUGAAGGGCUUUGCUCGUAAACCUCUGUAGUGAGGGAAAAUUUCCAUUCUAUGGAAUAUGAUGGUACCUCAAAAGUAAGCCCCGGCUAACUACGUG
rnacentral:rRNA from 1 species